rnacentral:rRNA from 1 species
UGGGGAAUAUUGCACAAUGGACGAAAGUCUGAUGCAGCAACGCCGCGUGGAGGAUGACACAUUUCGGUGCGUAAACUCCUUUUAUAUAGGAAGAUAAUGACGGUACUAUAUGAAUAAGCACCGGCUAACUCCGUGCCAGCAGCCGCGGUAAUACGGAGGGUGCAAGCGUUACUCGGAAUCACUGGGCGUAAAGAGCGUGUAGGCGGAUAUAUAAGUCAGAAGUGAAAUCCAAUAGCUUAACUAUUGAACUGCUUUUGAAACUGUAUAUCUAGAAUGUGGGAGAGGUAGAUGGAAUUUCUGGUGUAGGGGUAAAAUCCGUAGAGAUCAGAAGGAAUACCGAUUGCGAAGGCGGCUUUCUGGGCUGUAACUGACGCUGAGGCGCAAAAGCGUGGGGAGCGAACA